rnacentral:rRNA from 1 species
CCUACGGGAGGCAGCAGUGAGGAAUAUUGGUCAAUGGACGAGAGUCUGAACCAGCCAAGUAGCGUGAAGGAUGACUGCCCUAUGGGUUGUAAACUUCUUUUAUAUGGGAAUAAAUUGUUCCACGUGUGGGAUUUUGUAUGUACCAUAUGAAUAAGGAUCGGCUAACUACGUGCCAGCAGCCGCGGUAAUACGGAGGAUCCGAGCGUUAUCCGGAUUUAUUGGGUUUAAAGGGAGCGUAGGUGGAUUGUUAAGUCAGUUGUGAAAGUUUGCGGCUCAACCGUAAAAUUGCAGUUGAAACUGGCAGUCUUGAGUACAGUAGAGGUGGGCGGAAUUCGUGGUGUAGCGGUGAAAUGCUGAGAUAUCACGAAGAACUCCGAUUGCGAAGGCAGUUCACUGGACUGCAACUGACACUGAGGCUCGAAAGUGUGGGUAUCAAACAGGAUUAGAUACCCCUGUAGUC